UUUGUGCAUUAUACAGUGUGUUUAUUUUCCCAAUCAGUGAAUUACCAUCAAGUAAGGAAUUUUAAACUGUUAAAAACAAAACCCUUUCCUUUUGGUGACACCCUUAAGACCCCAAAGGUUCAGGACAGUGGGUGUUGUGUUCCAGUUGGGCUGUUCACCAGCCAGCAAGACACAAACUCUGGGAGUCCCAGUUCCCUCAUGUGUAAAAUCAGACGCUCAUUUCUCUAACCUGCCUCACAGGGUUUGGAGAUGCAAAAGAGGAUGCUGUGCAAAUCGUAAAGCCCGGCGUGUGUAAGUCACCCAAGUAACGUGGGGGCUGGGCUGCCAGGCACGCUGGUCGCUGGUUCAGAUUUUGCAGAGACGCUUUGCUUGCUCAGAAGGUGAGCUCCUUGGACCCUGAUGGGAGGCAACCUAUGCAGAUCACAUUAAGGAAGACUUGGAAACAGAGUUUCAAGUCAGGGCAGGAGCAGGACAAAUUCAAGAAACAAACAACCACAGACAACGAGGGCCAAGUAAAACCAAGUCAGAUAUGAACCGAGCCCUGGAACCAGGUCAUUAGCCAAGGUCACGACGGGUUGAGAACUUCAGACUGCUUCUUCCCCCGCCUUGCCAGCAAUUUCUGGCUCUUCCCCCGUGGUGCGUGCAGUUGGCUGGGCCCUGAGCCACGUGAGAUUGUUUUUAAUGGCAAAAUCUUCAAAGUUGUGCUUAAAAUAUUUCCAUCAUGAAAUCCCCUGUAGAAGCCAAACUCCAGCUUCAGAAGGCGCCUCCCAGCAAUGCAGCAACGUGCAUUCAGAGACGGGAGAGGGGCUCCCAGCCCAGCAUCACCUUCCAGCCACCGCGCCUUCACCACGUGGGUGACACCCUGCAGGAGACUCAGGCCAUCACAGACCUCGGGGCUGCGCAGGGGUGGGGACACACGCCAAAUGACUUUCCCAAGCCAACAACAGUGUCGGGUGAUUCGGCAGUUAGUUGAGCAAAAAAGCCUGUUUUUCACACAUUUAAUUGAUCCUGUGAGCAAAUAAGUUGUUAGAGAUGAAAGAUGAGUAAUGUUUUCCCCUCGCCGUGGGACACCUUUGUCCUUGUUUCUUGCACUUUUCUCCUGGGUCCACUGUGAAAUAGACACGUCUGGGGAGGGACAGGCUAAUGCACGGAUAACUCGCUUUAGAAAGUUAAAAAUGAGAAAAUAAAAACUCAUGUAAAUUAAAACUCAGAAAGGAAAAAAAAAAA